CCUAGAGUUGUAGGCUUUGCCUGCUAUCUCUUACCCAUGUCUUUUGAGUACCUUACGUUUCCUCGGCGGGUCCGCCCGCCGAUUGGACAAUUUAAACCAUUUGCAGUUGCAAUCAGUGUCUGAAAAAACUUAAUAGUUA
rnacentral:misc_RNA from 1 species